rnacentral:misc_RNA from 1 species
AAAAUUAUGGUUUCUGGGUUUUACAAUAGUGGGACUUGUAAAGCAACAUGUUGACAUUGAUUUUCAUAUACUCAAGACUAGGGCUUCUAGUGAAGUUUCUGUUGCCCUCCAUGUUUAUCAAUUUGGUAACAGAAAUAUACUUACCUUAUUGGAAUAACUAGCUUCUCGAGUACUCAAAAUUUCACAAUAAACAAUCACAAAGAUUAUUUUCUUUGCAUUUUCCUCUCUAAAUCUCAAUUACAAUUUACAUUUUGUUCAUCAUCUAGAGAGGAUAAUAAUGAAUCCACCUCUGAAACAUCUCAUAGCAUUCUCUACGUUUGAACUCUGGUGCUGGGUGACCACCACCCUAGAAAUAAAAGACAAAAGAACUCGUGUCACUGCUCUAUAAUUGCUAAUAUAUGCAUAUCAAAUUAAGCAAUAAGAAAAAAUCAAUUAGAAAAAUAAUUAAUAAAUUUAAAUCCACUUGCCUUAACAGUUGCAAAUGUCAAUUGAAAUCCAUGUUGUGAAUUCUUUCUUGUGUAUCCUGCAACUUGGCCAUCAAUAUACCAUGGUCGCCAGUCAUCUGCAAUCGUCAAAUUAAGGGACUUUAUCCAUUUUUCGGUUCCAACAUAAGGAAUAGACAUGUCAUGAUCACCACUGUAGCCAAAGAAAUCAAUGUAAGUAAGCAGCUAGCGCUAAAUUUAUGUUGCGUUAAAAGUGUUAGGUAAAAAUCACUGUUAUAUUAACUGUUAAAUGUAAAAAUAGUAGUAUGUCCUUUUGAUCCUAGCCAAAACACUAAUCAAGAUGGGGUAAUACUUUCAUGAUCCUUUCACCAGAGAGAUAUUAUAAAAGCUACCUUAAAAGCAGUUGCCGAAUAGGGCCUUGGAAUACAUGACAAUCAUUCAUUGGUAAGUGUAAAUCAUAGAUGUUUGUGGUAACUAAUCAUUAGUAGGAUGCAAUAUGCAUAGUGUAGUGUAGUGAAUUUUUAUUUAGUGAAAUUGUUGCAAUGAUUUCACCAUAAUCAUCAAUCGUUCAUUGACGAUUAUAACGAUUAUAGUACUAAGUACACCUGACAACACUAGAAACUGAGAAAAUGUAAGUAACAUGACAGUGCAAGUCUUGGUUCAUUACGUCUCAACAAGAAGUUGUAAGCCUUUGGUACUGAGAUACCGAUGAACAUCAACAACACUUGUAACAUUUUUUUCGUAUGAUAACCUUCUGUUGCAUCUCACCCAUUCUGAUACUAUUCCCUGUUACCACAUCACAAUUAAUAUCUGCAGCAGCAUUGCUUCGAAUUUAAAACAUCAUAUUCACUACUCUGAGAGUUCUCAAACCUUUCGAACGUGUAAGGCAUCUUGGACUUCAAGAUUAUUUGACCACACAUAGGCCAGCACAUAAUUGAAAUUUCGACACCAUAAUUCAGGAAUUCUUGGUGGUGAAAGGAUGAAAUUUUUGGGAUUUUCUUUCGCAGAUCUUCGAACAGUUUCUGAAUUUUCUCUAUGGGAUGCAAAAACACAACUAGGUUCCAAGAUAUCAUUGGUAUAUAAAUCUUUGAUGCACAUUUCAUAAGUUCCAAGUGCAGCUACACAUGCUGUGUUGGAUGGAUCUACAUCCACAUACGAGUCAUUGCAACUUGUUUUAAGUUUCUCAUAUAGUUGAUCUGAAAUUAGAGCCAUCCUGUGAGCAAAUAUUAUUUUUGCAUUUGCAUUUAGAAGUUGAUCUGUAGUUGGGCUCCCAAGCAGAUAUCCUUUGAGAUUCAAAUAUGGGUAGACCAUUGCUUCAUUAGCCUCUACCACUUUUUGAGUGAUCAAUGGAACAGUAACGCCUGAGUAAGAAUCACCACCAAUAAAUAGCUGAACUAGCAAAUAUUGUGGAUGUUCUAGCAACCACUGUCGGAGGAAUUGAUAAGACUGCUCUGCUGAUUCUGAGUCUGAGGUAAGCCAUCCUUGUGGAGUCCUAGAAUAAGAAAAACCUGUGCCAACUGGUGCAUCUAAAAAUAUAAAGCUGGCUGUCUUUGUCCAUGCAUAUGGGUAGUACUUCAGUUUUGGCAAGCCCCCCUUGUAGUGGUUUAUGUCAAAUUCCAAUGGACCGAUUUCAUAGAUUAUUCCACUGAAACUAGAACAACCAGGUCCACCAGUUAACCAGAGAAAAAUAGGGUCUUCUUGAGGAUCACCUUGCGAUUCAAUGAAGUAGUAGAACAGCUCAGAAUCACCAACACUUACGUACCCAGUUUCAAGCUUGAAUGGAAGUUCACCAUCAAAACCAGGAAGGUACUUGACAAUUUGGCCGGAGAAGGCAACAUGUGGUAACAGAACCAAAAGAAGAAGCAAUCUCCAACAGUAACUCAACCAUUUUGGAGCUCCACAAGCCGUGAAAGAUGUGCUUGUUAAAAGCUUCGGAACUUGAGAAGCCAUAGAAGCGAAAAUAGUGUACAGUAAUUGCCUUGAUGGGUUGUCCCUCUCUCUCCCCCUCUAUAUAUAUAUAUAUUUGGAUAGUCCCAUAAAUUAUACAAUAAUUUUCUAAAUGGUAUAAAUAAUUUUGAACAAAAGAAAAAUUCAGAUGCAAUAAAUGAAAAUAGAUGGAGAUAUUAUUCCUAAAUAUACGAACAGCUUGUUGAAAUUUGAAAGUAAGGAUUAGAACUUAGAAGGGUAUCUCAACCGUUCCCCAGAGUAAGUAGCCAUGUGAC